rnacentral:rRNA from 1 species
AACGAACGCUGGCGGCAUGCCUAACACAUGCAAGUCGAACGAGACCUUCGGGUCUAGUGGCGCACGGAUGCGUAACGCGUGGGAACCUGCCCUUAGGUUCGGAAUAACUCCCCGAAAGGGGUGCUAAUACCGGAUAAUGUCUUCGGACCAAAGAUUUAUCGCCUUUGGAUGGGCCCGCGUUGGAUUAGCUAGUUGGUAGGGUAAAAGCCUACCAAGGCGACGAUCCAUAGCUGGUCUGAGAGGAUGAUCAGCCACACUGGGACUGAGACACGGCCCAGACUCCUACGGGAGGCAGAAGUGGGGAAUAUUGGACAAUGGGCGAAAGCCUGAACCAGCAAUGCCGCGUGAGUGAUGAAGGCCUUAGGGUUGUAAAGCUCUUUUACCCGGGAUGAUAAUGACAGAACCGGGAGAAUAAGCUCCGGCUAACUCCGU